rnacentral:rRNA from 1 species
AGUCUAAAGAAUUUAUUUUAUUUUAGAUAAAACCUGCCCAGUGCUAGUAAUUUAAGUAAAUGGCCGCAGUACCCUGACUGUGCUAAGGUAGCGUAAUCAGUUGGCUUUUAAUUGAAGUCGUGUAUGAAUGGAUUUACGGGGCUAAGCUGUCUCAUCCAAGGUUUAGUUGAACUUAAUUAAAGGGUGAAAAUACCCUUGAGCAGAUAAAGGACGAUAAGACCCUUGGAGUUUUUACUAACAGCUUUAUAUAAAGUUUUGUGUUUUUGCUGGGGCGGCAAAGAGGUAUAUACCCCUCUAGAUAUAAUUAGCCGAUAUUUAUAAGAGCAGAUAAACUACCCGAGGGAUAACAGCGUUAUUCUUUAAAGAGUUUGUGACCUCGAUGUUGGACUAGGAAUUUACUAGAUUAGCCGUUUAGUUAUAUUGUUCUGUUCGAAC